UACGGAGACUGCAAGCGUUAUUCGGAUUCACUGGGCGUAAAGGGUGCGCAGGCGGCCAGGUGUGUUAGGCGUGAAAGCCCGGGGCUUAACCCCGGAAUUGCACCUAAAACUACUUGGCUAGAGCAUUGGAGAGGGUAGCGGAAUUCACGGUGUAGCAGUGAAAUGCGUAGAUAUCGUGAGGAACACCAGAGGCGAAAGGCGGCUACCUGGACAAGUUGCUGACGCUCAGGCACGAAAGCGUGGGGAGCAAAAGGGUUAGAA
rnacentral:rRNA from 1 species